rnacentral:rRNA from 1 species
UACAGAGGUCUCAAGCGUUGUUCGGAUUCAUUGGGCGUAAAGGGUGCGUAGGCGGCGCGGUAAGUCGGGUGUGAAAUCUUGGAGCUUAACUCCGAAACUGCAUUCGAUACUGCCGUGCUUGAGGACUGGAGAGGAGACUGGAAUUUACGGUGUAGCGGUGAAAUGCGUAGAUAUCGUAAGGAAGACCAGUGGCGAAGGCGGGUCUCUGGACAGGUUCCUGACGCUGAGGACGAAGGUCCAGGGGAGCAAACGGGAUUAGAUACCCCGUAGUCAGACCAAGAUCCAGUCCUGUCACCUGACGA